AGCGGUACGUGAGCUGGGUUCAGAACGUCGUGAGACAGUUCGGACUCUAUCCGGUGUAGGCGUAUAGAAUUUUGCAGAGAAUCUUCUACAGUACGAGAGGACCUAGAAGAAGAGAUCCCUGGUCUACCGGUUGUUCUAAUCGAGCAUCGCCGGGUAGCUAUAUCUCUAAUUGAUAAACACUGAAUGCAUAUCAAGUGUGAAGCAAACUCUAAGAUUAAAAUUCCCUAUAGCUUUCCCGAAGAAUACGGGAUUAAUAGGCGUCAGGCGUAAGCUUCGUAAGGAGUUUAACCGAGACGUACUAAGUAGCAAUCUCCCAUCAUU
rfam:Candidatus Roizmanbacteria bacterium RIFCSPLOWO2_01_FTLL_37_12 rifcsplowo2_01_scaffold_4241, whole genome shotgun sequence.